rnacentral:rRNA from 2 species
GGGAGGGUCAUUGGAAACUGGGAAACUUGAGUGCAGAAGAGGAGAGUGGAAUUCCACGUGUAGCGGUGAAAUGCGUAGAGAUGUGGAGGAACACCAGUGGCGAAGGCGACUCUCUGGUCUGUAACUGACGCUGAGGAGCGAAAGCGUGGGGAGCGAACAGGAUUAGAUACCCUGGUAGUCCACGCCGUAAACGAUGAGUGCUAAGUGUUAGGGGGUUUCCGCCCCUUAGUGCUGCAGCUAACGCAUUAAGCACUCCGCCUGGGGAGUACGGUCGCAAGACUGAAACUCAAAGGAAUUGACGGGGGCCCGCACAAGCGGUGGAGCAUGUGGUUUAAUUCGAAGCAACGCGAAGAACCUUACCAGGUCUUGACAUCCUCUGACAACCCUAGAGAUAGGGCUUUCCCUUCGGGGACAGAGUGACAGGUGGUGCAUGGUUGUCGUCAGCUCGUGUCGUGAGAUGUUGGGUUAAGUCCCGCAACGAGCGCAACCCUUGAUCUUAGUUGCCAGCAUUCAGUUGGGCACUCUAAGGUGACUGCCGGUGACAAACCGGAGGAAGGUGGGGAUGACGUCAAAUCAUCAUGCCCCUUAUGACCUGGGCUACACACGUGCUACAAUGGGACAGAACAAAGGGCCUGCAAGACCGCAAGGUUUAGCCAAUCCCAUAAAUCUGUUCUCAGUUCGGAUCGCAGUCUGCAACUCGACUGC